GCAAGAUCUCAGAGCCUUGUUACUUUACUUACAGUAGCUGCCAAGAACAAUUUUGUUUGUAAACAUUUUGAUUUUGAAUGCGCAUAUCUGAAUGCCAAGCUUGAUGAGCAAAUCUUUUUGAACCCUCCACCAGGUUUUGAACAGCAAAAUAAAAACACUGUUUAUCAUCUCUGCAAAGCCCUGUACGGACUUCGCUGUUCCGCCCACCAGUGGAACUUAUGUUUACAUGAAGUUUUAACAAAAAUGAAUUUUAAGCGUUCUGCUGCAGAUGCUUGUGUGUACACAAGGGGAAAACAUGACAAAAAGAUUUUUAUUUGUCUUUUUGAAGAUGAUUUGCUUUUCUGUGCCAAAACAACUUCUAUAAUUGAUCAGAUUUCAUCAGAAUUGUCCAAAACAUUUGUUCUUAAAGACCUAGGACAACUGAAAAGUUAUCUAGGCAUUGAAAUUGAAACAGUGAAAGACAAAGGCUUUCUGUUAAGCCAAACAAGCAAAAUUAAAGAGCUUUUACAAAGAGCUAGACUCUCAGAUGCAAAAGGAGCCAAAACCCCAAUGUGUCUAGAUUUAUGCAAGCCAAAAGACUCUCCUGAUUUUUCAAAUCCAACUUUUUACAGAUCUAUAAUUGGAAGUCUUUUACACAUUACCAAUUUUACCCGUCCUGAUAUAGCAUUUGCUGUUAAUGCUUUAGCAAGGGCUAGUUCUAAGCCAACAGUUGCCCAUUGGGAAGCAACAAAAAGAAUUUUGAGAUAUUUAAAAGAUACUNCUGAACAUAAAUUUGCUAUUUUUCCUAAUGAUGAAAAUAACAUUAUUGCUUACUGUGACAGUUCUUUUGCAGAUGAAGAAGACAGAAAAUCUUGUACUGGUUUUGUUAUUAAAUAUGCAAAUGUACCUUUGUUAUGGUGUUCCAGAAAACAAAAUUCCAUAAGCUUAUCAUCCUCAGCAUCAGAGUUUUCAGCUUUAUCUGAGAUGAGUAAUGAUCUUAUUUGGAUUAAAUCUCUGUUACAAGAUCUAGGUGAAGAUCCUAAUCUNCCUAUUCAAGUUUUUGAAGAUUCUCAAACAUGCAUACACUUUGCUAAUAAUGAAAAUCUAAAACAAAGAACAAAGUAUAUUGCAGUCAAGUACCAAAAUGUUAAACAGCUUGUACAAGAAGGUUUUAUUAAACUUGUUUAUAUUUCCAGUGAUGAAAAUUUGGCAGACAUUUUCACAAAACCUGUUACUUUUGCUAAACAUUCUUUAAUGUGUGAAAAGCUGAACAUAUAUCCUUCUGNGUAAUUUUUCUCAACAUGUUUGUAAUACUGUCAUUAGUUAUGGGAAGGGGUGUUAGAAUAUGGAUUCUAUAUUAGCCAUAAGCUAAUGCCAGUAUUCUCUAGUCUUAACAAUUUCCUGUUUCCUGUAUUAUAGUUAUUUUGUUUAUGCUGAAUGGAAAGUUACUGAAGUAGUCAACAUCCAGCUUCAUAGAAUUGUUAUGGCUAGUGUGUUACAGAUAACAGUAUUUCCUAUCCGUGAGAACCUUAGCUUGAGAGCUUAUCUAUUCAAUAACAAUGUAUUACAA
ensembl:lncRNA